GCUGCUCAGCAGUGAGGCUCUGUGUAAGGCGGUGGGUGAGGAAUGUGCUAGUGGGAGAAGUGAUAGGAAAGGAAACUGCAACCGGCUCCUUGUCAGCGAUAUCGGAGUUUUAAAGCAGAAAGAACCCCAGAACCUUUUGAUUUGCUGCACAGGUUUUGCCUGGCGAUUAAGAUAACCUGCUGUGCUAUGGGCCAUAGAGCAGGGCUAAUCUAACUGUACGUUUCAAUCUACCUUUACAGAAAAAGGAACUACAACUUAACUGGGUCAUGAGACUGUUCCAUAUGAUAAUGAAGGUGAAUACAUGACAUUAUGAAUUUGUGAAGAUGCACGGAACUUCACUGCACAGGCAGCAAGGCAUCCUUCACAAAUAAAAACAAAACCAAGCCAUUUCGAUCUGGUUGAUCUCAGGAAUGAAAGCCAACGGCCACCUGGAAUCCAAGUGUAUUAUAAAUACAGGAGACAGCCUCACUGAAGGUUAGGGAG
rnacentral:lncRNA from 1 species